CCACCCGUGUCCCUAGUUGGUAGAGUAUGAGGCUCUUAAUCUCAGAGUCAUGGGUUUGAGCCCCACGUUGGGUGAA